rnacentral:rRNA from 1 species
ACGAACGCUGGCGGCGUGCUUAACACAUGCAAGUCGAACGGAAAGGCCCUGCUUGCAGGGUACUCGAGUGGCGAACGGGUGAGUAACACGUGGGUGAUCUGCCCUGCACUUCGGGAUAAGCCUGGGAAACUGGGUCUAAUACCGGAUAGGAGCCAUUUUUAGUGUGAUGGUUGGAAAGUUUUUUCGGUGUAGGAUGAGCUCGCGGCCUAUCAGCUUGUUGGUGGGGUAAUGGCCUACCAAGGCGGCGACGGGUAGCCGGCCUGAGAGGGUGGACGGCCACAUUGGGACUGAGAUACGGCCCAGACGCCUACGGGAGGCAGCAGUGGGGAAUAUUGCACAAUGGGCGCAAGCCUGAUGCAGCGACGCCGCGUGGGGGAUGACGGCCUUCGGGUUGUAAACUCCUUUCGCUAGGGACGAAGCUUUUUGUGACGGUACCUAGAUAAGAAGCACCGGCUAACUACGUG